CUCCGUGUUUUAGCUAACGCGUUAAGCACUCCGCCUGGGGACUACGGUCGCAAGACUAAAACUCAAAGGAAUUGACGGGGACCCGCACAAGCGGUGGAGCAUGUGGUUUAAUUCGAUGCAACGCGAAAAACCUUACCACUCCUUGACAUGAAGGUUAAAUCCUCCUUAACAGGGGGGCUCAGUUCGGCUGGACCUUACACAGGUGCUGCAUGGCUGUCGUCAGCUCGUGUCGUGAGAUGUUGGGUUAAGUCCCGCAACGAGCGUAACCCUCAUCCUUAGUUGCCAGCGGGUAAUGCCGGGUACUUUAGGGAAACUGCCAGUGAUAAACUGGAGGAAGGUGGGGAUGAUGUCAAGUCAGCACGGCCCUUAUGGGGUGGGCUACACACGUGCUACAAUGGCGACUACAAUAGGUUGCAACGCCGCAAG
rnacentral:rRNA from 1 species